AUGUUGGGAGACUUCAAUGAAAUAUUAUUUUCUUCAGAAAAAGAGGGAGGGAAUAUGAGGCCUAAUGCAAUGAUGAGAUAAUUUUGUAAUUUCUUACGAGAAUGCGGUCUAGAAGAUAUGGGUUAUAUUAGUGAUCGCUUGACUUGGAGAAUAGGCGAGAUUAGGGAGAGAUUUGAUCGUGGGGUUUGUAAUGUGGAGUGGGUGAACAAGUUUCCACGGGCUGCAAUCAUGAACGAAGAACAAAUUUAA
rnacentral:rRNA from 1 species